GACCGUGGGGGAGAGACGGAUCGAGCAGGGAGAGAGCAGGAAAGAGAACGACAAAGGGAGCGAGCGAAAAGGUAGAGAAGCGAGGUACCGGCGGAGCAACACACAGAAGCGGCAGAGGGAACGGGUGCAGUAGCGAGUGCAAACGCAAAAGCGCCCUCGCUUGCUCCCGCGCGAUGCAAAGACGGGAUAUAAAUAAGCGGCUGUCGUUUGCGGAAGCAGAAAACGGGCAAAAGGACAGAAAUAAAGAAGAAGUCGCAGAAGAAAGGGAGGCAGUGACAGAGAGAGGAAUAAAUAAGCCGGGGGCCGUGGAGAGCGAGAGGACGAGGCAAAAGUAGGAGCUGGAGCAGUAGCAACGGGCAACAGCAGCAGCAGCAGCAGCAGCAGCAGCAACAACCAGCAACGGUUCCACCGUUGACUCCCUCUUGCCGCUUGGACGACCAACGUCCCGAUCUACUACUUUUGCGGUGUACGACCGUCCUCGCAUUGAAAACUUUUCAGCCUGUGUCCUGUGCCUCCUCUACGAACGCGGCAGGUGUACUUCUGUCUCGUUAUCCGGAAGGCCUCUUCCUCCACACGACAGCGACGCGUUCGAGUAGAAGUCGUAGAUCACUUCGAGGAUGUUUCGAAUGGAUUUUAAAGGACAAGUGAUUUUGUCGUGGGAGGAACGGGACGGGAGAUCCAUUUAACGAUCUCCGUAACGUUAAUGAAUGUAUUAGGGCGGUAAAUGAAAGAGCCGAGGACAAGGGGAGGAGUUGCGUGCCGACGAACAGCAACGAUUCUGCGCAUGCUCGCUGCGCAACGCGUCCAGGUGGAUUCUGCUCGAUCUCUGUGUAACCAGAGGAGAGGAACGGUGUUCUUCCGGUGUUGCUGCGUUUCUAGAAAUCCCCAGCCUCAGCGGUUGGAUCUGCCGGUAUCGCGGCGAGUUAUCCACGACCGGAUCUAGAUACUAUUCAUGCUAAGCCGCAUAUCUGCAUACGCAUCGAGACACUUUUCGAAAGCACGUUACGCAGCAGCCGCAGUGGCACCACGUGCAUACGAGAGGCAACCUGCAUCCUCGGUGUGUGUACGGCGGGACGAGGCGACGCUCGCAUGUACACGUACACACACACGUGCACACGUUGGCCGUAUGCUCGCUGUGAAACAGAACACAACAGAACAGAACAGAACAGAAGAGAGCAGAACGGAACGGAACGGAGCAGAGCGGAACCGAAUGAAACGGAACAGAAGCGAACGCAGUAGAGAAGCGCAGGCUGACUGCGCGGCCGCAGCAUGUUUAUUGGCGCAUCUUGGAGUCUUAAAUCUUUAUGUUGUCUCCUCGACGGGGUCUGCUAUCUCCCCUGUCCCAUUGGCGGGAUGGGAGGAGAAGGGAGAAUCAGCACAACUACGGAAGGGGUGAGAGGGACGGGAACAAAGAGGAAACGAAUCGGCACAGCCGUGGGUAAGCGAGACCGAGGAACGGAUGAGUAACAAAAAGAAACGAAAAGAGGCUAGGGAAAGAACGAGAGGGAAGGAAAUCGGGAGAGAUAUAUCUCUUGAGUUGCGGUCGCGAAAUCGAGUCAAGAGUCGGACAACCAACGACCAAGACGCAUCCACUGCAUUACGCACACAGAAGCCGCGAUCUUAACGUGCCUCUAGAAAUGGUCGUUUGCAGUUGUACAGAGAAAACCCACGUGGUGAAGGUACCAGGCAAGAAUUAUUAAUGGCUGUAGGUGUCUACGAGCGCGAAGAUUGCCGCUUUUAGCCAGAUGUGAUAGAAAUUGCGUCAUAUGAGAUUGACUCAACGCGCACCCCUUGUAUCUAUGCUUUUACAUAUUGCAACUGCCGAUGGCAAUUGACCAUCAGAUUGUAAAUCGACGAAUAUUCUACUACAAUUUGAUUCGCUCGUAACAAGGAUGACUCUUAUCUGUGCAAAAAUCUGUUUGUCUAAGCAAAGAAGAAGUAUAUGAGCAUCUUCAAUAUUUGUUCAAUACGUUAAUUCUUUUAAACGUUGUAAUAAUAAUAUCCAGGGGAAAUUGAUUUUUAUUCAACAAUGAGUAGAAUAGAAUAUAAAUUACUUUUUUUAAUAUCGAUUAAACCAUGUUUCAGGCUAUUUGAAUGCAUCAUUAUCUAAAAAAAAUUGCAAAAUUUGACAAGUUCUACGAGUUUCAUAAUUAAUUAUUAAGAAAUUAAACACAAGAACUGCGGGAGUUAGAAAACCGACGCUCGUUGAUAAAAGGAAAUGGUUAACAUUUUUUGUUAUCUUAAUUAACAAGGGGAAGUGGAAUGCACUGGGAAGGAUAAUGGUUUGUAGACGGUUCGCAAUAACGGCCGUGGAAUCUCGUAAAAUACAAUUAAUUAUGAAAUCAAUAUACCGCACCGAGCUUUAUGGAUAAUGCGGCUUGCCGUUUUUUCAUCACGCGAUAAAAAUAUGUUGAAGCAAAGAACUUAUAAGCUCGAUUAAUCAUUCGUUCUAUGAAGCGUGAAAUUAAUAUUAUUAUAUUAUAAUGAUACGUUGAAGUAAACAUUUACAAGCUUGAUUAAUUAUUCGUUUUACACGAGGUUACUGUCAUUUAAAUCGUGAUUUAUAUUUAGUGUUGGUAAUAUGAAAUACGAAUAACGAUCGACACAAAAAUUUCUGAAUUAUUGCAGUAAGGAAGACGUCAAGCUGAAAACCGCUGUUUCGGUAGGGGGUGUCUGUUACCAUCUCUGACGAACGUUGUACGACUCCCACAUGUGCACGCGUGCACGCGUGUAUUUACUGUACGCGCAGUACCCUAUUCCCGGUACGUAAGGAAACGUGGGCGUGAAGGUACUUUCGUGCAUUGCUGCUGACAUAACAGUGGUUAAUUAAACGGCACUGCAAACACGUGCUGAUACCAUCAAGGAAAUAUACAUAUCACCAGCCAAUGUGAAAGAUGCGUGGAAAAUGAAAAAGGAAGAGAAACUUGCGGCCGUCUGUUCGUGUCAAGCGGCGCUAUGAAUAAAUGCGCUGCGAUUUCCCCUUAAUUUACACGAGGUGGCGCCACUGCAACAUAAGUAGUCGCGAUAACUGAUCGAUAUGAAGAUUUGGGAAUUUACGUGUCGCUUGAUUUCAAUAGGCUAAUACAGUCUAUUAGUACAGUCUACCGUGAACUUUGAUCGAACGCAUUCGAUAAAAAAGAACAAUCUCCGUGACUUCGUGAUUAUCGUAUUGUAUAGUUAUUUUUACUUUGAUAGAAGGUUCUCAUCGAAAAAAAACACUGAUUAUACUAGUUCCUCGAUUUGCGUGGUCGCGGCGUUUAUUAUAUAUUUGUUACAUAUU